GGCGGCUAGGGCGCGCGGCCAGGCGAGCGGCGGAGCAGCGGCCAUGUGCUCAGCAUUCACCAGCUACAGCUUCCACGUGCUUGUUUCCAUGCUUAAUUGUGUGCUGCGUUCUCCAAGAAAUUAGGUGUGCUUGUAAUUAGGGAUGCGAUUAACAAGCAGUUAGCUCUAGAAACUGGUGUGGUACUGGCUCCAUCAAUUGUUUCAGGAGGCAUCUAGUGAACUAGCUUGUGUGUUCUUCCUUUUAGAAAACUUUGCAGAUGGUUUGAGUGGCGCCAGGUGCGCGGCGGCGUGGUGGCCAGCAGGUAGCGGUAACCAGCAGACCGCGAUUUGCUACGUGGGACUCUCUGUGUGCUGAUUUGGGACUCUAUGUAGGCUGUUGGACAUGAUUAGUGCUAUUUUUACAUGAAC
rnacentral:lncRNA from 1 species